rnacentral:rRNA from 1 species
UACGUAGGUGGCAAGCGUUGUCCGGAUUUACUGGGCGUAAAGAGCGCGCAGGCGGCCGUACAAGUCGCGUGUGAAAGCCCCCGGCUCAACUGGGGAGGGUCACGCGAUACUGUUCGACUCGAAGGCAGGAGAGGGAAGCGGAAUUCCCGGUGUAGUGGUGAAAUGCGUAGAUAUCGGGAGGAACACCAGUGGCGAAGGCGGCUUCCUGGCCUGUUCUUGACGCUGAGGCGCGAAAGCUAGGGUAGCAAACGGG